GGGGAUGUAGCUCAGUUGUAGAGCACUUGCCUGGCACGCAUGAGGCCCUGAGUUCAAUCCCCAGCAUCACAA
rnacentral:tRNA from 1 species